UACGGGGGGGGCAAGCGUUGUUCGGAAUUACUGGGCGUAAAGGGCUCGUAGGUGGCCAACUAAGUCAGACGUGAAAUCCCUCGGCUUAACCGGGGAACUGCGUCUGAUACUGGAUGGCUUGAGUUCGGGAGAGGGAUGCGGAAUUCCAGGUGUAGCGGUGAAAUGCGUAGAUAUCUGGAGGAACACCGGUGGCGAAGGCGGCAUCCUGGACCGGCAUUGACGCUGAGGCGCGAAGGCCAGGGGAGCAAACGGG
rnacentral:rRNA from 1 species